ACGGGAGGCAGCAGCUAAGAAUAUUCCGCAAUGGGGGAAACCCUGACGGAGCGACGCCGCGUGGACGAUGAAGGCCGGAAGGUUGUAAAGUCCUUUUAUGGCAGAGGGAUAAGCGGGGGAGUGGAAAGUCUCCGUGAUGUCUGUAGGCCAUGAAUAAGCACCGGCUAAUUACGUGCCAGCAGCCGCGGGAACACGUAAGGUGCGAGCGGUGUUCGGAAUCAUUGGGCGUAAAGGGCAUGUAGGCGGUCUGUCAAGCCAGGUGUGAAAGCCAGGGGCUCAACCCCUGAACUGCGCUUGGAACUGGCGGACUGGAGUCGCUGAGGGGGAACCGGAAUUCCUGGUGUAGGGGUGAAAUCUGUAGAUAUCAGGAAGAACACCGAUGGCGAAGGCAGGUUUCCAGCAGACGACUGACGCUGAGGUGCGAAGGUGCGGGGAGCAAACAGGAUUAGAUACCCUGGUA
rnacentral:rRNA from 1 species